ensembl:rRNA 5S_rRNA 5S ribosomal RNA
GUCUACGGCCAUACCACCCUGAAUGCGCCCGAUCUCGUCUGAUCUCGGAAGCUAAGCAGGGUCGGGCCUGGUUAGUACUUGGAUGGGAGAUCACUUGUGAUUCCCACUCUGAUGGCAGCUGUUGAAU